UUCAAAUUUAAAUGGGAGUUUCAGCACAUGCAUAAUGAUAAUUAUUGUCUAUAAUCAAUGUUAUUAAUGGUGGGCUUGUAGUGCAAGGCGCACCGGGCGCAAAUGGUGGUGCCUCAGAGCAGCAAAGGCGCAUGACCUCACUGAGGUGCACCCAAGCACACCCCAAUGAGGUCAGCCCACCAAUUGCAGAGAAUGACUGGAGGAAGAAGAAGAGGAAGAAGAA
rnacentral:misc_RNA from 1 species